CGAGACAAUGUUAAGUAAACGGAAAAUCACGUAGUUAAGAGGAGAGUAACGAUGACUAAUAAACUUUUUAUCGUCGGGACAAAUUGAACCCGGUAUAAAAGGUGUGUCUCGAUUGGAUUAGACGUAGGAACUGCAGCGUGCUGCACACAUAAAAUACCCGUUGCCCGUUGGACAAUUUUUCUUCAUUUUUUUUCUUUUUUUUUUUUUUUUCUUUUCAAGUACGCGCGCAACAUCGAAAUUCCGGUGGCUUGAAUCGUUCUCAUUCAGAUAGAACAAAAAUGAUCACGAGGUUUUUCAACACGGGCACUUGCGCGAUGGAAAUUUGAUACGUGUAUAAAAAUCGAGCAGGUAUGAAAGGAGGCUAAGUUAUAGGUGAAGUACGACGAAUAUAAUAACGAGAGUUGACGAGACUCUGGAGUGUGGGAGUUUGAAAAGCCGCUGAAAACCCGAUAUACAUAUCCAGCGGCAGCGGUAUUAUGGCCAAGUAUAAUACGUACGGGUACAGGGGUUGAAAUCGGCUGGUCUGGUGUGUUGAACCUCGCGAGAUUCAAAUAUUUAGCUAGUUAGUCGAUACCGUUUAACCCGGGGCUAACUUCACCGAACGGAUCUGAUACCCCUAGAUUUACGACAAGAGAUACGCCACGUAGAGACAUCCUGUACAUAUC
rnacentral:misc_RNA from 1 species